rnacentral:snoRNA from 1 species
CUGGUUACAUGAUGAAUAAAACAAUCACCAUCUUUCGGCUGAUCUUGUGAUGAUUUGUUUUUACCUGACUAAAAGCCAG